AGCUUUGUGCAGUGGCAGUAUCGUAGCCGAUGAGGUUUAUCCGACGCGCAAUUAUUGCUAAUUGAAAACUUUUCCCAAUACCCAGCCAUGACGACUUGAAAUGUAGUUGGCAUUGGUAAUUUUUGAGAGUAUCUAUAGAGA
ensembl:snRNA U4 U4 spliceosomal RNA